rnacentral:rRNA from 1 species
GUCUACGGCCAUGCCACCCUGAACAAGCCCCAUCCCGUCUGAUCUCAGAAGCUAAGCAGAGUCAGGCCUGGUUAGUACUUGGAUGGGAAACCACCUAGGAAGACCAGGUGUUGUAGGCG